rnacentral:rRNA from 1 species
AUUGAACGCUGGCGGCAUGCUUUACACAUGCAAGUCGAACGGUAACAGGCCUUCGGGUGCUGACGAGUGGCGAACGGGUGAGUAAUGCAUCGGAACGUACCCAGAGGUGGGGGAUAACGCAGCGAAAGCUGUGCUAAUACCGCAUGUGAUCUGAGGAUGAAAGCGGGGGACCGAGCAGCAAUGUUUGGCCUCGCGCCUUUGGAGCGGCCGAUGUCGGAUUAGCUAGUUGGUGGGGUAAAGGCCUACCAAGGCGACGAUCCGUAGCUGGUCUGAGAGGACGACCAGCCACACUGGGACUGAGACACGGCCCAGACUCCUACGGGAGGCAGCAGUGGGGAAUUUUGGGCAAAGGGCGCAAGCCUGAUCCAGCAAUGCCGCGUGCGGGAAGAAGGCCUUCGGGUUGUAAACCGCUUUUGGCAGGAAAGAAAAGGUGUCCGCUAAUACCGGGCGCUAAUGACGGUACCUGCAGAAUAAGCACCGGCUAACUACGUG